AUUGAACGCUGGCGGCAGGCCUAACACAUGCAAGUCGAGCGGAUGAGUGGAGCUUGCUCCAUGAUUCAGCGGCGGACGGGUGAGUAAUGCCUAGGAAUCUGCCUGGUAGUGGGGGAUAACGUUCCGAAAGGAACGCUAAUACCGCAUACGUCCUACGGGAGAAAGUGGGGGAUCUUCGGACCUCACGCUAUCAGAUGAGCCUAGGUCGGAUUAGCUAGUUGGUGGGGUAAUGGCCCACCAAGGCGACGAUCCGUAACUGGUCUGAGAGGAUGAUCAGUCACACUGGAACUGAGACACGGUCCAGACUCCUACGGGAGGCAGCAGUGGGGAAUAUUGGACAAUGGGCGAAAGCCUGAUCCAGCCAUGCCGCGUGUGUGAAGAAGGUCUUCGGAUUGUAAGGCACUUUAAGUUGGGAGGAAGGGCAGUAAGUUAAUACCUUGCUGUUUUGACGUUACCAACAGAAUAAGCACCGGCUAACUUCGUGCCAGCCGCCGCCGUAAGAC
rnacentral:rRNA from 1 species